UCCUGAUGUUCUUCAAUUUCUAGUUCAC
rnacentral:piRNA from 1 species